GAUGAACGCUGGCGGCGUGCCUAAUACAUGCAAGUCGAGCGAACGGACGAGAAGCUUGCUUUUCUGAUGUUAGCGGCGGACGGGUGAGUAACACGUGGAUAACCUACCUAUAAGACUGGGAUAACUUCGGGAAACCGGAGCUAAUACCGGAUAAUAUUUUGAACCGCAUGGUUCAAAAGUGAAAGACGGUCUUGCUGUCACUUAUAGAUGGAUCCGCGCUGCAUUAGCUAGUUGGUAAGGUAACGGCUUACCAAGGCAACGAUGCAUAGCCGACCUGAGAGGGUGAUCGGCCACACGGGAACUGAGACACGGUCCAGACUCCUACGGGAGGCAGCAGUAGGGAAUCUUCCGCAAUGGGCGAAAGCCUGACGGAGCAACGCCGCGUGAGUGAUGAAGGUCUUCGGAUCGUAAAACUCUGUUAUUAGGGAAGAACAGAUGUGUAAGUAACUGUGCACAUCGUGACGGUACCUAAUCAGAAAGCCACGGCUAACUACGUG
rnacentral:rRNA from 1 species